UACAGAGGGGGCAAGCGUUGUUCGGAAUUACUGGGCGUAAAGGGCGCGUAGGCGGCCUUCUAAGUCGAACGUGAAAUCCCUGGGCUCAACCCAGGAACUGCGUCCGAUACUGGAAGGCUUGAAUCCGGGAGAGGGAUGCGGAAUUCCAGGUGUAGCGGUGAAAUGCGUUGAUAUCGAUAGGAACUCCGGUGGCGAAGGCGGCAUACUGGACCACAGUCUGACGCUGAGGCGCGAAA
rnacentral:rRNA from 1 species